rnacentral:rRNA from 1 species
GACGAGCCACACGAACGUUAUUCGGAAUUACUGGGCUUAAAGGGUGCGUAGGCUGCGCGGAAAGUUGGGUGUGAAAUCCCUCGGCUCAACCGAGGAACUGCGCCCAAAACUACCGUGCUCGAGGAAGAUAGAGGUAAGCGGAACUUACGGUGGAGCGGUGAAAUGCGUUGAUAUCGUAAGGAACACCUGUGGCGAAAGCGG